rnacentral:rRNA from 1 species
AAGCGCUUGCAACCAGACUUGCGCGCGGCGGUUCCCCCAUCCUUUUGGUUGGGCUAUUCUGUCGUGUCCAGGCCAACAUCGGUUCUGGGGGUCGGUUAAAGGCUUGGGGAAUGUAUCUACCCUACGGGCGUAGACUUAUAGCCCCGAGUGUCAUGCGGCCUCCUGGGACCGAGGAACGCGCUCCGGCUCGGAUGUUGGCGUAAUGGUUGUCAGCGA